UGGAGAUGUGAUGCACGCAGCCCCGCGGCACGAAGACUAAAGUGAUUAGCCGUAGUCUUUGCCCUGAGUGCUGCUACAGCUGGGCGCCUCGGCCAAACACAAGGGUUAUAACUCCAGAACACAGACUGAAAAUGUUAAAGAGCACCGAUAUAGCCCGCAGCGGUUAAACAAAAAGGCCCCCCUUUAUUUGAAAGGACAAGCGAACAGAAGGAGGAUAACCAGAGAGGUUACGGAAGCGGGGGGCUCAUCACCUCCCCCUGGGGGCACUGGCAAGAAAGCUGGCCUCUAAGUAUUUUUUGCUCCAGGUUUGAGCCAUAGGUUCGGGUCCCAAACAUCUGAUCAGCUGACUCACCAGUGGCUCCGACUCCCCAGGUGGGAUGUGUCUGCACAGAGCCGGUCGCCGUCUCCUCUUCCCCAAGGUCCUCCCCUCUGCUCUUCUCCUCAGCGUCAGACAAUUGCAUUUUCUCCUACUGGCUCGGUGCGGGGGAGCAACUGGCAAAUGUCAGGCUGUGACAGGGGGCCAUCCGGACGCAGAUCGCGUACCCUCAGGGCCUGCAGGGCUCCGUCAGUUUCUCCUCGACUCCGAAGGCCCAGCCCUGGCCUGAAAGCGGCUGGCCGUUCUGACAUUCUCAUUCUGCAUUAACCUGGCCGAGCUGCCCUCAGGCUCCACCGUGACGAACGUGCUAAAGGAAGAUCUACUGGAUCUUCCACACAAGCCUCUUACGUGCGUGUGCAUGGAAGGCCAGCGUGAUGUUUUAUUUAAAGCAAUGUAAAUAA